CAAAAAUCACCCCAAAACCUUCUAUUCGUUCCCCAACAAGUGGAUCUUAAGGCACGAAAGGAAGACUUGGGCGCAAGGAGAAAGGAGAUAAAGACCAGAACUGAACUCUUCCUCUUCUCCUCUAGGUUCCGUUUCCGUUCCUAGCGAGCUAACAUCAAACAAUUCCCUUCCAAACUAUCCUGCUAUUCAUUCCUCCGCUUGCCAAUCACCUCCAAACUCAAAACAAAGAAAGCCCAGCCGGGAAGGCAAAAGAAGGAUUCCCAUUCCCCUGCCUGGCAAGAGACUGCAUGUAAGGAUCUCACAAUCGAAGGAAGCGCUUACUUACCAAUGUACCUCCAACUCGAUGAAGUGCACUCCCAGCGAGAAGGAAUGACACUUUCAC
rnacentral:misc_RNA from 1 species